rnacentral:snRNA from 1 species
GGAGUGAGGGCGGCUUCCAGUGACCUCCGCCCACCUUGGACCCCCUGGGCUGACUUGGGCUGUUUGGGCAAAUUGCGUGGUAUCCACCUCUCCCCUCACCGUUCCGCAGGCACCCUUCCAGAAGCUGUACGCUCAGCUCCAAAGGAAAGAAUUUCCUAGACAAAAAAUGGCCUACCUCCCAUUGAGAG